rnacentral:rRNA from 1 species
UAGCGCCUACGGGGAGUAGCAGUCGGGAAUAUUGCGCAAUGGAGGAAACUCUGACGCAGUGACGCCGCAUGCAGGAAGAAGGUUUUCGGAUUGUAAACUGCUUUAGACAGGGAAGAAAAUGACGGUACCUGAGUAAGAAGCCCCGGCUAACUACGUGCCAGCAGCCGCGGUAAUACGUAGGGGGCAAGCGUUAUCCGGAUUUACUGGGUGUAAAGGGAGCGUAGACGGCGAUACAAGUCUGAAGUGAAAGCCCGGGGCUCAACCCCGGGACUGCUUUGGAAACUGUGUUGCUGGAGUGCUGGAGA